UGUGUGUGUGUGUGUGUGUGUGUGUGUGUGUGUGUGUGUGUGUGUGUGCGUUUGGAUCUGUCCGAUCUCGAAGCCCCACCCUCAAUCGCAAUCAGUGUGUCAAUGGCGAGCACGCACUCGUCCACACACGAACACAACAGGCAUGCAGAUUAAGACACAUGCGACCACCCAUCACAUUUUCUUGAUUCAAGUUUCAGCUGUACUGUACCUUUUUUCAUCACUGCAAGCGUACAGUUGGCUUGUCUCCAGUUCUUUGGCUUUCAAACCGUUUCUGUCUUCAUUUGAAUGAAGCGGCAGAUGCGCACGGUGAGAAGAGAGCAAAUAGGAUUCAUGGACUCAACCAUUUUACAGGGGAGGGGGGACAUAAAGAUUUUAGUUCUUAAACUUAAACAAGUUACCAAUGAGAUCAACAGCUUCAGUAGCAAAAAAUAUAAUAACAUUCACUAAAUGUAUAUUAUUUGGAGACACUUCUAACAACCUGGGUGGCAAGUGGGGUGGCAAGCAUUUUUUGGGGGGUGGCAGCUGCCACCCCUUGCCACCCCGGUAGUUUCGCCACUGUAUACUGUGAUGUCUAGGAUGAUUAUUUUAAUGUCCUUGGUCAGCUCUGUCAUCAUCAGCUGCAGCAAGAACAGUGCUGUUAAAAAGAUGGAGAACCGGUUUGAUGUAGGACACACUGACAUACUGUUCUCCAGUCAGCACGUCUGUGAAUUCCAGCAGUGGGCUGAAGGUCUUGCUUAAGGUACGGCCACACCAACCGCGUUACCCGCGUACGACGAGUAUAAAAUCGGCAAUUUUUCCAUAGGGAACCAUUGGUUUACGCGUGUAUGAGCUGCGUAGAUUCGUUACAUGCGCUAAAGCAACAUUUUAGCCGCGUUAGCUGCGUAUGUGCUGCGUAUAUAUACUCACCUACGAGCAUACGCGCAGAGUUAAAAAAAUGUAACUUUUUACGCUCCUACGCAUGACGAUUAGCCGCGUUGCCCAAUCAGCGUUGAGCUUGACCCGACGUCACUGGCAGAGAGGCAAACUGUCUGAAGAGGUAGUUCUCCACAAACAGAGAUGGAUCGCGGACUGCAAGAGAUGUGCUCCCAGAUGGAGAUUAACAUGGGUAUGUGUUGAAUUUCAUGAAAAUAUCGUAUAGCAGUUUGAGUUGUUAAUUUAUCUUUGUCUCAGUUACGUUGAGAAGCGUAUUUUUUCUGAAAGUGUAAAUGAAUGCUAGUCUUAUUUCCUUAACAUACGUUAGCUUUGUUGUGUUUGACGUUUUUAUUAGCUUAUGAUAGAUACCCAGUAAAGACAUUUAAAUAUGCUUGAUUGAAAAUUAAAAUAUAAUAAUCAGAUAUUACCUUCUCUGAAAGGUAAUAGUUGGUUGUGAGUAAUACGUAGGCUAUUUAACAAAAGUGCGUUGAGUAGAAAAGUGCUACAUAGUUCCCGUACGACCCUGGUGCUACACAAGGUGCUAAAAAGUAGCGCUUUAGCUGCUAGUUUGUAGAACAAUGUUACGCCCACAGUUGUAAGAUGUGUCUGCAUUUGCUGCUGUAGGGUGCGUAGAAAGUUGAGGUUUGUUACAAUGUAAUAUACAUAUUCACGGUACCGAUGUCCUCUCCGAUCCGCAGACGCACUUGACCAGCCACCAGCGGAUGCGGUGGUAAUCAUUGGCAAUAACUGGCCCCACACCGCUGUUUUGCUCCUCAUAGAGACCUGGAGGUCUCUUAAGGAGAAGUUUGAGUGUCCCACCAUAAAAAAAAAACAAGCUUGGGAGAUGGUUUCGGAGUGCCUCAGAAAGGAAGCAGUUAAUGUGACAUGGCAGUAGGGCUGGGCGAUAUGGGAAAAAGUUAUAUUUUGAUUUUUCCCCCCCAAAAUUUCCGAUUUCGAUUUUAUAUCACGAUAUGAACAAAAUCACAAUUUUUGUAUAAUUUAUUUUUAUUUUCUGGUAAAAAAGAAAAUGUAAUACACAAAAACAAAUGUAAUACACAAAAACAGCUUAACAAGCUCUUAGGUUUCAAAGAACAAAUUCUAGCAGCUUUAAAAAACAACAACGAAAAACAUGAAGUGCAUUUAACUUUAAGUGCUGCAAUGAAA